rnacentral:tRNA from 1 species
GAGGGUAUAGCUCAAAGUGGUAGAGCACAUGCUUAGCAUGCCGAGAGGUCCCGGGUUCAAUCCCCAGUACCUCCU